GCCGGCGGCACGCGGGAGCUCGGCGCUGACAGGGCGGCGCGCGGAGGCGCUGCCGGACGGGACGGGCGGCUCCUGCCCGCCGCAGGGCGAGGGAGGUGAUUUCUCAGCCCUUUUCUGGUAUUUCUGUGUCACAGUUCCUCACCUACAGACUCGUGCUGGAUGAUCUGUUUCCCCCGUAGUUUGGGAACGAAUUGCCUGGAGGCCCCGGGAAAAGCCCUUGUGUCCGAGGCUGCCCCUGUGAGCCACAUUGGAAGACUUUGGGCUGCAGGAGAAAUUGACAGCUAGGAGUGUUUUAUGUCAUGCAUUUAAAGAUGAGCUCAGUGAGACCGGUUUAAGCAGUGCAGAAGUUCAUGGAUGGAAGAAGAGUCCUUGUUUCAGAACACCUAAACGUGAAGAUUUUAUAAACACCAUUAGGGAUCCUUUGCUGGGAGCUGUUGUGUGCUGCCUGCUGCAGCGCAGCCCUCUGGGACCCCUUGCCUCCAAAGAUGGAAUCCGAGAGCUGGCUGCAGGAGGAAUGGAUCUCGUCCGUCUGCUGUGAUUCUUGACCCACCUAAUUGGCUAAUGGCCACGAGCAAUAACAGCGUGGCUCAGGGGAGCGGCGCUGGGGCAGAGAAGCACUGUGCUGCACCGAAGGCAUUGCGUGUGAUCCUGCCAUUGAUGACCAAACCUCCCCGAAAUCUUCUUAUCGGUUGCUGCCAAGAUGAGAAGGACAGCAGGAAAGAGGAGUGUGUUAUUGCUCCCACUAUGCAAGGAAGUUGAACUGUUUUCCUGAGCACAUCCAGAAUUAAUUCAGCCCAAGCUGAUCAGGUUAUCGCAUGCUGGUUACUGCUGGCCUGGGUCGUUCUGAUGGAAGAGCAGGGAGCACACAGAGCAGCUGUAUCAAUGGCUCCCCUGGGAAGGGGUGUUACCAACAGGGGAGUUGUGGAGCUGGUGGUGGUGGUUUGGUGUUUGCAGCAGGUGCAGCUGCGUCUCUAAGUUUUACACAUGUGGAAAAAUACUUUGUUAAAGCAGCUCCUGGGUGAACAGGGGUAAUUAAAGGACUGCGCCGCUUUUAUUGGAGUUGACACAUGCUGCACGUUCUUCAAAACCCACUCGCGAUGUGGAGCACCCUGCCAAGCACACUGCUCCUCUGAGCUGCAGUGAGAAAUGGAUGACCAGUGCUGCACACAGCUAAGCACACAGCCUUCUCAGCAAGCGUGCUUCAGGUAGGUAAGGGUGCAAAGUGCUUUCCUGAAGGAGCAGACAAGGUGUGGAAAAUAUCAGAAGGCCAGGUUCUUCUGCUGUGACUCCUUGAAGCAAGCCCAGCACGCUGUCAGCAGCAGCCACACCUCUGCCAGCCCCAGAUGGUGCCAGGUGGGUGGAAGCUGUGUGCCUGGGAUCAGUGGGAAGGGACACAGCAGGGGAGGCAAACGUGCUGUUUCUUGUUUUCUGAAUGCUUCCAGGUUAAAGCACAGCCAUCUCCACGCUGAGAGAGAGGAAGUCACAGAGUCACAGUGUUGACCAGCACAGUGGCUGGAGGUGUUUUGUUGUUUGUUUUUUUUUUUCCCCCCAAAGUCUUCUUUUAAAAAAGUUAUAAUUAAAUCACAGACAACUUCUGCGUGGAAAGCCCAGUAUGGCAGUGUUAUUUAAUAAGAAAUGCUUUGGCAACAUUAAAUUCUUAGUAGCAUCAUGUAUCAUCUGUAUUUUGUGUUGUUCUUACGGCUGUUUGGCUUAAGACCGUCACGCUUUCACUUCUGUAUUUUGGGAGACAUUUAAAUGCUAAACUCUAAGCACUUUUCAGGCAUUACGUUUGACUUACUAUUAUUGCAUACUAUAAAAUAUAAUAAAACACAAUAUUAAAGUCUACGCUGAUAGAAUAUUAUUCAGUGGCUACAAAUAAAAAAU